AUUGAACGCUGGCGGCAGGCUUAACACAUGCAAGUCGAGCGGGGAAGGGUAGCUUGCUACCUAACCUAGCGGCGGACGGGUGAGUAAUGCUUAGGAAUCUGCCAUUUAGUGGGGGACAACAUUCCGAAAGGAAUGUUAAUACCGCAUACGUCCUACGGGAGAAAGCAGGGGAUCUUCGGACCUUGCGCUAAAUGAUGAGCCUAAGUCGGAUUAGCUAGUUGGUGGGGUAAAGGCCUACCAAGGCGACGAUCUGUAGCGGGUCUGAGAGGAUGAUACGCCACACUGGGACUGAGACACGGCCCAGACUCCUACGGGAGGCAGCAGUGGGGAAUAUUGGACAAUGGGCGGAAGCCUGAUCCAGCCAUGCCGCGUGUGUGAAGAAGGCCUUAUGGUUGUAAAGCACUUUAAGCGAGGAGGAGGCUACUUAGAUUAAUACUCUAGGAUAGUGGACGUUACUCGCAGAAUAAGCACCGGCUAACUCUGUGCCAGCAGCCGCCGUAA
rnacentral:rRNA from 1 species